rnacentral:rRNA from 1 species
AUUGAACGCUGGCGGCAUGCCUUACACAUGCAAGUCGAACGGCAGCACGGGAGCAAUCCUGGUGGCGAGUGGCGAACGGGUGAGUAAAGUAUCGGAACGUGCCCAGUCGUGGGGGAUAACGUAGCGAAAGUUACGCUAAUACCGCAUACGAUCUAUGGAUGAAAGCGGGGGAUCGCAAGACCUCGCGCGAUUGGAGCAGCCGAUAUCAGAUUAGGUAGUUGGUGGGGUAAAGGCUCACCAAGCCGACGAUCUGUAGCUGGUCUGAGAGGACGACCAGCCACACUGGGACUGAGACACGGCCCAGACUCCUACGGGAGGCAGCAGUGGGGAAUUUUGGACAAUGGGCGAAAGCCUGAUCCUGCCAUGCCGCGUGCAGGAUGAAGGCCUUCGGGUUGUAAACUGCUUUUGUACGGAACGAAAAGGUUUGGCCUAAUAAGCUGAGCUCAUGACGGUACCGUAAGAAUAAGCACCGGCUAACUACGUGCCAGCCGCCGCAGUAA